GUUGGGUAUGGUGACCCAUGCCUGUAAUCCCAGCAACUUGGGAGGCUGAGGCAGGAGGAUCAUAAAUUCAAGACCAGCCUCAG
rnacentral:sRNA from 1 species